AAUCAACGCUGGCGGCGCGCUUAACACAUGCAAGUCGAGCGAGAAAGGGGAGCAAUCCCUGAGUACAGCGGCGUACGGGUGAGUAACACGUGGGUGAUCUACCUUCUAGUGUGGAAUAACCCUGGGGAAACCGGGGCUAAUACCGCAUAAGCCUGUGAAGGGAAAGCAGCAAUGCGCUGGAAGAGGAGCCCGCGGCCGAUUAGCUAGUUGGUGAGGUAACGGCCCACCAAGGCGAUGAUCGGUAGCCGGCCUGAGAGGGCACACGGCCACACUGGCACUGAAACACGGGCCAGACUCCUACGGGAGGCAGCAGUGGGGAAUCUUGCACAAUGGAGGCAACUCUGAUGCAGCGACGCCGCGUGAGCGAUGAAGCCC
rnacentral:rRNA from 1 species